rnacentral:rRNA from 1 species
GCCAGCGGCGAUAGCACGUUGUACGCACCACUUGGAUCACUGAAGUUAAGCAACGUUGUUUGUAAUUGGUAUCCGGAUUGGUAAUUAGCUGAGCAAUAGCAUAUUGCUGGCU